UUCACAUGGAACGAGUGGCGGACGGGUGAGUAACACGUGGGUAACCUGCCCUUAAGUGGGGGAUAACAUUUGGAAACAGAUGCUAAUACCGCAUAGAUCCAAGAACCGCAUGGUUCUUGGCUGAAAGAUGGCGUAAGCUAUCGCUUUUGGAUGGACCCGCGGCGUAUUAGCUAGUUGGUGAGGUAAUGGCUCACCAAGGCGAUGAUACGUAGCCGAACUGAGAGGUUGAUCGGCCACAUUGGGACUGAGACACGGCCCAAACUCCUACGGGAGGCAGCAGUAGGGAAUCUUCCACAAUGGACGCAAGUCUGAUGGAGCAACGCCGCGUGAGUGAAGAAGGCUUUCGGGUCGUAAAACUCUGUUGUUGGAGAAGAAUGGUCGGCAGAGUAACUGUUGUCGGCGUGACGGUAUCCAACCAGAAAGCCACGGCUAACUACGUGCCAGCAGCCGCGGUAAUACGUAGGUGGCAAGCGUUAUCCGGAUUUAUUGGGCGUAAAGCGAGCGCAGGCGGUUUUUUAAGUCUGAUGUGAAAGCCCUCGGCUUAACCGAGGAAGCGCAUCGGAAACUGGGAAACUUGAGUGCAGAAGAGGACAGUGGAACUCCAUGUGUAGCGGUGAAAUGCGUAGAUAUAUGGAAGAACACCAGUGGCGAAGGCGGCUGUCUGGUCUGUAACUGACGCUGAGGCUCGAAAGCAUGGGUAGCGAACAGGAUUAGAUACCCUGGUAGUCCAUGCCGUAAACGAUGAAUGCUAGGUGUUGGAGGGUUUCCGCCCUUCAGUGCCGCAGCUAACGCAUUAAGCAUUCCGCCUGGGGAGUACGACCGCAAGGUUGAAACUCAAAGGAAUUGACGGGGGCCCGCACAAGCGGUGGAGCAUGUGGUUUAAUUCGAAGCAACGCGAAGAACCUUACCAGGUCUUGACAUCUUUUGAUCACCUGAGAGAUCAGGUUUCCCCUUCGGGGGCAAAAUGACAGGUGGUGCAUGGUUGUCGUCAGCUCGUGUCGUGAGAUGUUGGGUUAAGUCCCGCAACGAGCGCAACCCUUAUGACUAGUUGCCAGCAUUUAGUUGGGCACUCUAGUAAGACUGCCGGUGACAAACCGGAGGAAGGUGGGGAUGACGUCAAAUCAUCAUGCCCC
rnacentral:rRNA from 1 species